AGAACGAACGCUGGCGGCAUGCCUAACACAUGCAAGUCGAACGUGAUCCAGGCUUCGGCCUGGUGAAAGUGGCAGACGGGUGAGUAACGCGUGGGAACCUGCCCUGUGGUAGGGAAUAACCGUGGGAAACUGCGGCUAAUACCCUAUGAGUCCUUCGGGAGAAAGAUUUAUCGCCAUAGGAGGGGCCCGCGUCGGAUUAGGUAGUUGGUGGGGUAACGGCCUACCAAGCCUUCGAUCCGUAGCUGGUCUGAGAGGAUGAUCAGCCACACUGGGACUGAGAUACGGCCCAGACUCCUACGGGAGGCAGCAGUGGGGAAUAUUGGACAAUGGGGGCAACCCUGAUCCAGCAAUGCCGCGUGGAUGAUGAAGGCCUUCGGGUUGUAAAGUCCUUUCGGCGGGGAAGAUGAUGACGGUACCGCAGAAGAGCCCGGCUAACUUCGCGCCAGCAGCCGC
rnacentral:rRNA from 1 species